GACGAACGCUGGCGGCGUGCUUAACACAUGCAAGUCGAGCGGUAAGGCCUUUCGGGGUACACGAGCGGCGAACGGGUGAGUAACACGUGGGUGACCUGCCUUUAGCUUCGGGAUAAGCCUGGGAAACUGGGUCUAAUACCGGAUAUGACCUCAUGUCGCAUGGUGUGGGGUGGAAAGUUUUUCGGCUAGAGAUGGGCCCGCGGCCUAUCAGCUUGUUGGUGGGGUGAUGGCCUACCAAGGCGACGACGGUAGCCGGCCUGAGAGGCGACCGCCACACUGGGACUGAGAUACGGCCCAGACUCCUACGGGAGGCAGCAGUGGGGAAUAUUGCGCAAUGGGCGGAAGCCUGACGCAGCGACGCCGCGUGGGGAUGACGGCCUC
rnacentral:rRNA from 1 species